rnacentral:rRNA from 1 species
AAAAGUCAUGAAGGAAUGGGUUUUCGAGAUAUUCACUGUUUCAACUUGACUCUGUUAGCCAAACAAGCAUGGCGUCUGCUCGAUAGCCCUGAAUCCCUAUGUGCCAUCAUAUUAAGAGCUAAAUAUUUCCUCGAUGGCGACUUAAUGAAUGCGGUAAAAAAAGGGUCUUCCUUUACUUGGCAAAGCAUUAUGGCGGGAGUGGAUUCUUUAAGAUAUGGAUAUAUUCGGAGAGUUGAAAAUGGACAAAAUAUUGAUAUUUGA